GAAUUUUGGACAAUGGGCGAAAGCCUGAUCCAGCAAUGCCUCUUGCAGGAUGAAGGCCUUCGGGUUGUAAACUGCUUUUGUACGGAACGAAAAGCUUUUGGUUAAUACCCUUGAGUCAUGACGGUACCGUAAGAAUAAGCACCGACUAACUACGUUCCAGCCGCCGCGGUAAUACGUAGGGUGCAAGCGUUAAUCGGAAGUACUGGGCGUAAAGCGUGCGCAGGCGGUUUUGGAAGACAGAGGUGAAAUCCCCGGGCUCUACCUGGGAACGGCCUUUGUGACUGCAAGGCUAGAGUACGGCAGAGGGGGGUGGAAUUCCGCGUGUAGCAGUGAAAUGCGUAGAUAUGCGGAGGAACACCGAUGGCGAAGGCAACCCCCUGGGCCUGUACUGACGCUCAUGCACGAAAGCGUGGGGAGCAAACAGG
rnacentral:rRNA from 1 species